AGAGUUUGAUCAUGGCUCAGGACGAACGCUGGCGGCAUGCCUAAUACAUGCAAGUCGAACGAUGAAGCACUCUGCUUGCAGAGUGCGGAAGAGUGGCGAACGGGUGAGUAACACGUGGGGAACCUGCCCAUAAGAGGGGGAUAACAUCCGGAAACGGGUGCUAAUACCGCAUAGGUGAUCAUAGCGCAUGCUUAGAUCAUUAAAGAUGGCUUCGGCUAUCGCUUAUGGAUGGCCCCGCGGCGUAUUAGCUAGUUGGUAAGGUAAUGGCUUACCAAGGCAGUGAUACGUAGCCGACCUGAGAGGGUGAUCGGCCACACUGGGACUGAGACACGGCCCAGACUCCUACGGGAGGCAGCAGUAGGGAAUCUUCCACAAUGGGCGAAAGCCUGAUGGAGCAAUGCCGCGUGAGUGAAGAAGGUCUUCGGAUCGUAAAGCUCUGUUAUCGGAGAAGAACACGGAGUGCAGUAACUGGCAUUCCGCUGACGGUAUCCGACCAGAAAGUCACGGCUAACUACGUGCAGCAGCCGCGGUAAUACGUAGGUGACAAGCGUUGUCCGGAUUUAUUGGGCGUAAAGCGAGCGCAGGCGGUCUUUUAAGUCUGAUGUGAAAGCCCACGGCUCAACCGUGGAUGGUCAUUGGAAACUGGGAGACUUGAAUGCAGAAGAGGAAAGUGGAAUUCCAUGUGUAGCGGUGAAAUGCGUAGAUAUAUGGAGGAACACCAGUGGCGAAGGCGACUUUCUGGUCUGUAAUUGACGCUGAGGCUCGAAAGCGUGGGGAGCGAACAGGAUUAGAUACCCUGGUAGUCCACGCCGUAAACGAUGAGUGCUAAGUGUUGGAGGGUUUCCGCCCUUCAGUGCUGGAGCUAACGCAUUAAGCACUCCGCCUGGGGAGUACGG
rnacentral:rRNA from 1 species